AUGUAUUUUCUUUUGUCUUCUUUUUUUUUAGAUGUUAAAUCAGAAGUGAAAUUGGAAGAGUCUGAAGGGGGUGUAAAAAGGCCUGGAGACUCCCUUUCACUGUCUUGUAAAGCUUCUGGUUUUACCUUCAGCAGCUUCUACAUGGAUUGGGUGAGACAGGCUCCUGGAAAGGACCUGGAGUGGAUUGCAGAGAUAGGUACCUCCUCAAGUCCCCUUCGCUACUCGGAUGCAGUGAAAGGACGAUUCAUCAUCUCCAGGGAUGAUUCGAACAGUCUGCUAUAUUUGCAAAUGAACAGCCUGAAAAAAGAAGACUCUGCAAUAUAUUACUGUGUAAGACACACAGUGAAGGAAACUGAAUAUGAAGCUAACCAAAAAGUCUCAUGUGACUGUCAAAGCUCUCCCCUCUGAUCCAUCUAUACUAUAACAAAUAAGGAAAGCAAAACAUGACAAGGCAUUUAUAUGCAGAAGUAGCUUGGCCUUAGAGUGCUAACUCUACUGCACAGGAACAUUGAAUAUGCACCUGGAUGAAAUAUAAUUUUUGUUAAUUGUUAAAAGAAUAAUUCCUGUAUUAAAUGGUCAUUUUGAAAUGUUGGUUCAGUAACACAGCAGAGAUGGGAGAGGGAAGUUGAUAGGAAAAAGAAUAGGCUGGAAAUCUGAAGAGCUAGGUUUCCACAGCAAUGGGACAUUCUGACCCACGUUUCAGCCUUUAAAAAUGGUCAAAAGACAAGAUAAAACUGUUGCAAGCUGAGAAAAACUGACUUCAUUUGGCAGGGAAUGACCAAAUGGACAAGAGCCGAGGGUGGAGCCGGGGGUGGAAAGGAGGUGGAACUGGGAGGGGCAAGAUAGAGCAAUGUUAGCAUAGAACAUGUAACCAAGAUAAACUUAUAUAUAUGGACACCCAUCUUGGAAAUGGGUAUGGCAUUUUGGCCUUUACAGAGCCCACCAUGGCUUGCUUCUGCAGAAAUAAAGUUUCUAUGUUAUAAUCUCCUUGUUUCUGGUCUAAACUGGGGGGAAAGACCAGGAAUCCAUUUAAAGGAAGGCCUGCCAUUUCAUAUUGUGCAAAGCGAACAGGGAUGUGAGAAAUUCUCAGUGUUUCCCUUUGAAACAUCCUACUGGAAGCCCUCUAUCAGCUGAUCUGUUCAGUGGGAUGAGGUCCUUAGAAAGCUCUGAUCCAGAGUGAUCAGG